GCCUUUGUGGUGUAGUGGUCAGUAUGCUGGGUGCAUAUUCCAGAGGUCCGUGGUUCGAGUCCUGGCGAAGGCG
rnacentral:tRNA from 1 species